AGCGGCAGCGCGGGGGCAACCCUGGCGGCGAGCGGCGAACGGGUGAGUAAUACAUCGGAACGUGCCCAGUAGUGGGGGAUAACCAGUCGAAAGAUUGGCUAAUACCGCGUACGACCUACGGGUGAAAGCGGGGGACCGCAAGGCCUCGCGCUAUUGGAGCGGCCGAUGUCGGAUUAGCUAGUUGGCGGGGUAACGGCCCACCAAGGCGACGAUCCGUAGCUGGUCUGAGAGGACGACCAGCCACACUGGAACUGAGACACGGUCCAGACUCCUACGGGAGGCAGCAGUGGGGAAUUUUGGACAAUGGGCGCAAGCCUGAUCCAGCCAUGCCGCGUGAGUGAAGAAGGCCUUCGGGUUGUAAAGCUCUUUCGGCGGGGACGAAACGGUCCGUGCCAACACCAUGGAUCAAUGACGGUACUCGCAGAAGAAGCACCGGCUAACUACGUGCCAGCAGCCGCGGUAAUACGUAGGGUGCAGGCGUUAAUCGGAAUUACUGGGCGUAAAGCGUGCGCAGGCGGCUCCUUAAGUCAGAUGUGAAAUCCCCGGGCUUAACCUGGGAACUGCGUUUGAUACUGGGGAGCUGGAGUGUGGAAGAGGGGGGUGGAAUUCCAGGUGUAGCAGUGAAAUGCGUAGAGAUCUGGAGGAACACCGAUGGCGAAGGCAGCCCCCUGGGCUAACACUGACGCUCAUGCACGAAAGCGU
rnacentral:rRNA from 1 species